rnacentral:rRNA from 1 species
AUUGAACGCUGGCGGCAGGCCUAACACAUGCAAGUCGAGCGGAGCGGCGGACGGGUGAGUAAUGCCUAGGAAUCUGCCUGGUAGUGGGGGAUAACGUCCGGAAACGGGCGCUAAUACCGCAUACUAUCAGCUGAGCCGAGGUCGGAUUAGCUGGUUGGGGGGGUAAAGGCCUACCAAGGCGACGAGCCGGAACUGGUCUGAGAGGAUGAUCAGCCAACGUGGAACUGGAGCACGGUCCAGACUCCUACGGGAGGCAGCAGUGGGGAAUAUUGCACAAUGGGCGCAAGCCUGAUGCAGCCAUGCCGCGUGUAUGAAGAAGGCCUUCGGGUUGUAAAGUACUUUCAGCGUGGAGGCGUUACCCGCAGAAGAAGCACCGGCUAACUCCGUGCCAGCAGCCGCGGUAAUUC